GGGGUUCACAUCAGUGGUGGGUUCCUCCCGGUUCGGCCCGGUUCGGCCGAGCUGGUUCGGCCGAGCCCGGUUCGGCCGAGCUGGUAGCAGUGACAAUAUGACAUCACUGAAUCAGUUCUCUUUGUUCGGGAGCUGGGCCCUCCCGCCCCCGCCCCCCACGUUAUUCUUACCUUUUAUUUGGCCCCGCCCCCAAUCUAUUUGCUGCCUCCCGAGUCUCAGCUGAUCGACUAGAAGGAAAAAAACUGUUUAAACUCUUGCCAUGGGGCUUCAAAGGGCCGCCCUACAGCUGAUCAGUGUUAAAAGGCAGUGUGGUGGUAGAUCGGUGUGUCCAAAAACAAAUGAGUAGACCAGUGCCUCCAAAAACAAAUGAGUAGACCGGUGCCUCCAAAAACAAAUGGGUAGACCGGUGCCUCCAAAAACAAAUCAGUAGACCGGUGCCUCCAAAAACACAUAGGUAGACCUGAAUGCUCCAAGAACAAAUGGGUAGACCAGUACAGCUCUGCAAGCAGUUAAAAGCCUGGUAGACCAGUACUUCUGCUAAAUCCUAAAGAAUUGUCACAUGACCAUUAAACCACACCCAUAAAAUAAGCCACGCCCACAGAACCGGUAGUAAAAAAAUUUAGAACCCACCCCUGGUUCACAUCAGUGGUGGGUUGCUCCCAGCUCUCUCCGGUUCUUUAGAACCGGUAGUAAAAGUGGAGGGAGGCUCCGCCUACCUGGCCGAAUGUCAUAAUUGAUGAUCUGCGCAUGCGCAGAAGCUUCUGCACAUACGCAGAAGCACGCACAUGUUCACCCGUUGCGAACCGGUAGUAAAGGUAAGUAGAACCCACCCCUGGUUCACAUGAUCGCUAUUUGCAACCUUCCCAGCUAGCUUUUGAUAAGAAAGUCAAUUUAGGACGCCAGAUUCGCAAAAAAGGGUUGUAAAUUCAGGCACAAGUCACUUAAAUGGCUGCAUCGUUUAGCAACGGAAGGUCCAGUUCCAAUUGAGGUCAUAAGUCGAGGACUACCUGUAUUGAAACAGUCUUGGCCUAUGGGAAGUGCACUUUUCUCUCUGAACAUUGUUGUUCAGUCACUAAAUCGUGCCCUACUCUCUGCAACCCCAUGGACCAUAGCACACCAGCCCCCCCGGUCCUCCAUUGUCUCCUGAAAUUUGCCAAAAUUCACGUUUAUUGCGUCAAUUGCAUUAUCUAACCCUCUCAUCCUCUGCCGUCCCCUUCUCCCUUUGCCUUUCAUCUUUCCAAAUAUCAGAGUCUCUUCCAAUGAAUCCCGUGAGCUCAUUUGGCAGCCAAAGUAUUUGAUGACAUCCCAUAGUUCCUAAAUUGGAAGAAAAUAUUGGGUAUUCCUCCUUUGGCUUUUGCCCCCCAUAUCCAUACCUCCCUUUUCCUCAUCCUGCUUUCUUUUUCUCCAAAGGUUCAUCUCGGAAGCCACGUUUGGAGCAAUAACCAGGCGCGGCGGGGACGGCGUCUGCCUCUGGAAGGGCCCCUGCCGGUGCUCUCUGGGGGCCAAGUCAAGCUGCAGGACUUCCUGGGACGGGACAUCCCAGCCCAACUGGUGGGGGUGGGUCCCCUUUCCUUCUGGAAUCAGUAUACCGCCUUCGUCUCAGGGGGCCUACCCGCCAAGCCUGCCCACAGCACAGCGGCUUCCGUUGUUUCAUCUUCCUCCUCUUCUUCCCCCAACGUGACCCCACAAAGCCUCUUUGGAUCGAGCAACGUGCCUGGGAAGGUGGUCCCUGCAGAGUCCAAGGAGAAGCCGCCGGUGACCAACUUGCUGCUCCUUUCUCCGCCGGCAGCUCCCGUUUUGGAAACGGUCCCUGAGAACCAAGGAAAGGGGGAGAAGUAACCCAGCUUCUACUGAAGUGAUCCACUCAAGAGGGACCAAGUACACGGCAGCAAUUAAAUCUUAUAUCUGACAAUGCAAAUUGAUACAGUUCCAAUAUAAUUUUAGCAACUUUUUAGUGUUUUACUUUUAACGUAGUUUGGAGCUCCGGCGGCCGAAAGGCAAGGAUCCUGACCCAAGGCAGGGAAGGAUGGUCCCUGCCUUGUACCUUUGAUUUUGUUUUGUUUUUUUAAAGAAACUUCCCUCUCAUGUAGAACAGGAUACCAAAUGGCCCCAGCCGAGGAAUUUAUUCCCUCAAUAAAAGAAAUUUGAAAGAA